UACGUAGGGGGCAAGCGUUAUCCGGAAUCACUGGGUGUAAGGGAGCGUAGACGGCUGAGCAAGCCUGAAGUGAAAGGCGGGGGCCCAACCCCCGGACUGCUUUGGGAACUGUACGGCUGGAGUGCAGGAGAGGUAAGUGGAAUUCCUAGUGUAGCGGUGAAAUGCGUAGAUAUUAGGGAGAACACCAGUGGCGAAGGCGGUCUGCUGGACGAGCAACUGA
rnacentral:rRNA from 1 species